GGGUGCGCACGGGCCCUGUGAGCGAUCGCGGUGGGCUUGGGCUGGUGACGCGUGCGCCGGCCGGCCGCCGAGGGGCUACCGUUCUGCCUCCGACCGGUCGUGUGUGGGUUUACUCGGAGAAAUACUAGGCUUUAGAAUUUCACCAUAUGAAUUUUGGGAGAGAGGAGCACAGUUCAGCCCAUAACUAACACACGACGGAAUGAAGUUGAUAAUAGUGAGACCUUGUUGGUACAAGACUAUGUAACAUAACCUGCGCUUCUCAACAAAGAAUUGCUUUUCUGACUUCUGCACUCAAUAGCAAGACAAAUCUCUCCUCUGCCUUCUCCUUAUCAGACUACUCAACAUGAAGGCAAUAAGAAUGAAGACCUCUAUGUAUAAUAAUUGACUUCCACUUAAUAAAUACCUGAACAGAUGUUGAGUACAAGCUGAUCCACCUACGUUCAACCUGAGAGAGUCCACAUCCACAGACUGUUUCAUUUCCCUUUUUCAAUUUACAUAGAAGCAUAGAUUCUUGCUGGCAUAUACAAAUGCGCCAUUUAAGGCAAUCAAAAAUGGUUCCACAUCUCAUCUGAUUUCCACAAUUGUUGCUGUAACGAUGGACUACUGAGGAGAGAGACAAUUUCUCUGGCACAUCUUCCCACAUUUUAGCAACAUGUUCAUGGAGAGCCAAUAUUCAGUAAUUACAGCCCAAUUCCUCACAAUUUCACAAUUCGCUAACAAUAUGCAUUUUCACAAUGUAAAGCUGAUUUUCCUUUAACCAAAUCAAACAUGAAAAGAUAGCUGCAUGCAAUGGGCAAUCUAGAUCAUUAGAAGAUUGAUGUAAAAUUAGAGGACACUGAGACUGGAAUAGAUUGCAAACUUCAGGGAGCUCAGAAAACUUGUAAACUCUACAUUUUGAGGAAAUAUGUUGUCGAUGCUUUUGCAACUCUAUGCAGUAACUUAACAAAUAAAGCCUUAAAGUAACUUA
rnacentral:lncRNA from 1 species